UAAUACGUAGGUGGCAAGCGUUGUCCGGAUUUACUGGGCGUAAAGCGCGCGCAGGCGGUGAACGAAGUCGAGAGUGAAAGCCCUGGGCUCAACUCAGGAACAGCUCUCGAAACCAGUUCACUUGAAGGCGGAAGAGGGAAGUGGAAUUCCGAGUGUAGUGGUGGAAUGCGUAGAUAUUCGGAAGAACACCAGAGGCGAAGGCGACUUCCUGGUCCGAUCUUGACGCUGAGGCGCGAAAGCUAGGGGAGCAAACGGGAUUAGAUACCCCGGUAGUCCUAGCUGUAAACGAUGGAUACUAGGCGUUGGAGGUUUUAACCCCUCCGGUGCCGUAGCUAACGCAUUAAGUAUCCCGCCUGGGGAGUACGGCCGCAAGGCUAAACUCAAAGGAAUUGACGGGGCCCCGCACAAGCAGCGGAGCGUGGGGUUUAAUUCGAUGCAACGCGAAGAACCUUACCAAGACUUGACAUGCACAUGACCGCGGCGGAAACGUCGCUUUCCCGAAAGGGACGCGUGCACAGGUGUUGCAU
rnacentral:rRNA from 1 species